rnacentral:rRNA from 1 species
AUUGAACGCUGGCGGCAGGCCUAACACAUGCAAGUCGAGCGGAUGAAGGGAGCUUGCUCCUGGAUUCAGCGGCGGACGGGUGAGUAAUGCCUAGGAAUCUGCCUGGUAGUGGGGGAUAACGUCCGGAAACGGGCGCUAAUACCGCAUACGUCCUGAGGGAGAAAGUGGGGGAUCUUCGGACCUCACGCUAUCAGAUGAGCCUAGGUCGGAUUAGCUAGUUGGUGGGGUAAAGGCCUACCAAGGCGACGAUCCGUAACUGGUCUGAGAGGAUGAUCAGUCACACUGGAACUGAGACACGGUCCAGACUCCUACGGGAGGCAGCAGUGGGUAAUAUUGGACAAUGGGCGAAAGCCUGAUCCAGCCAUGCCGCGUGUGUGAAGAAGGUCUUCGGAUUGUAAAGCACUUUAAGUUGGGAGGAAGGGCAGUAAGUUAAUACCUUGCUGUUUUGACGUUACCAACAGAAUAAGCACCGGCUAACUUCGU